UUCACUCCCCGCCCCCAUCCCUCAGCAUCUGAGCUCUACCUGAGGGUGUCAAGUCACCUCUGUGAGCCUUGGUUUCCCCAUCUGUGAGCAGGUGGAUCUGAGUUCCAAGGUUCCUUCUAGCCAUCUGUGUGAGACACCCCCACACGGUGUCCAGUAACAGCAGGUGCAUAAUAAAUGUGUUUGUGGACCUACCCUCCCCAGUGCUGGGCACAAGGGUACAUAGAGGAGAAAUAUGAGUAAAUGUCGCCUUUGUCCAGGAAAUGGGGGACCCAGACCGCUGGACACACACCGGACAACAGCCGGCCCUCACAUUUGUGCUGGAUGGUACCAUCUACAAAGGGAUUUUGCUGCGUGUGCUGCUCCCUGUGAUUCUCAUGGAGGAAACUCCACAUCUCAGGCUGAGGGCAAUUUGUGAUGGACUGUGGCUUGUGGUGAGAGAAGCACCAACCAAGUUCACCGCAGCCUCAAGUAGAGGUGAGGGUUGGGGCCAGACACAGGGCUGUGGGGGCGGCAGGGGCACCUAGGCAGCACUGCCACCUUCCUGUUUGUCAGCCAAAAGAGGCUGCGGAGGGCAACACACAAGUGGGUCACCGCUCAGGCUGGCUACCGCUGCCAGGCCAGCCUGGGCAGGUCGGUGCCGCCAGAGCCAGAGGCUUCCCCAGGACCUGAGGUGUCCUGGCUCCUGGGAACUGCAGCAAACUCUCUGGCCAGCCCUGCUUUAUGUGUAAAUCCCUUUAAUUUGCAUAACAAGCCUAGAAAAAAACAAUACCCAUUUUGCCGAUGAGGAAACUGAGGCAUAGAGAAGUUAAGUAACUUCCACAAAGUCAUCGGUAAGUGACAAAGCCAGGCUUUAUUCUCUUAUUCAUUAUGCCACAUGGUUAAGUAAUUAACACGAGUAGAUGUAUGUAUGUUUAAUUGAUUAAAAGUCAUGAGUAGCAACAAUUUCACUGCUUCCUGAUUCAUCUCCCUGAACCCCAUCUUGAUAAUGUCUUUACCCUGUGUAAAAGCAUCCAUUAGCUCUUCCUGCCAAUUUAUAAAGUAGAAAUCCUUAAUCUGUCAUCCAAAGCCCUCUUUCCUGUCCAAUUUCCCCCCUUUCCCCCAGAAUUCUAGUAACAGCUCUUUCCCUACCUGCCUUACUAGCUCAGUGGGACUGACUCCCACCCUUGCUGUGCUUCAGACCAGUCAUGUGCCCAGACUUAGCCAAUCAUGUCACAGACUCCCCCAGCCAUCGUGGGUGGUUUAGGGAGAGACACAUGACCCAGCAGAGCCAAUGAGGAUCUGUUCUGGGACUUCUCUCUGAACUCUUGGGAAAAGAAAACCUCUGGAGUUCCCGUCGUGGCACAGUGGUUAACGAAUCCGACUAGGAACCAUGAGGUUUCGGGUUCGAUCCCUGGCCUUGCUCAGUGGGUUAAGGAUCCGGCGUUGCCAUGAGCUGUGGUGUAGGUUGCAGACGCGGCUCGGAUCCCGCGUUGCUGUGGCUGUGGUGUAGGCUGGCAGCUACAUUUCCGAUUAGACCCCUAGCCUGGGAACCCCCAUAUGGCGUGAGAGGGGGCCCAAAAAAGGCAAAAAGGCAAAAAAAAAAGAAAAAAGAAAAGAAAAGAAAGAAAGAAAAUCUCUCCUAAAGAUGGGGUGCCUGGGAGAAUAAAACUGAGCCAGGAGCUGCCUGCA
rnacentral:lncRNA from 1 species